AAGUCGUAACAAGGUCUCCGUCGGUGAACCAGCGGAGGGAUCAUUACAGAGUUGCAAAACUCCCAACCAUUGUGAACUUACCUCACCGUUGCUUCGGCGGGCGGCCCGGGAAACCCAGGCCGCGCCGGCCCCCCUCGCGGAGCCGGCAACUCGUCAGAGGCCUGCAAACUCUUGCAUAUUGGCCUCUCUGAGUAACUUAUACAAUAAGUCAAAACUUUCAACAACGGAUCUCUUGGUUCUGGCAUCGAUGAAGAACGCAGCGAAAUGCGAUACGUAAUGUGAAUUGCAGAUUUCAGUGAAUCAUCGAAUCUUUGAACGCACAUUGCGCCCGCUAGUAUUCUGGCGGGCAUGCCUGUUCGAGCGUCAUUUCAACCAUCAAGCGCCUGCGCUUGUGUUGGAGCCCUGCGGCUGCCGCAGGCUCCCAAACCCAGUGGCGGGCUCGUCGUCGUACCGAGUGCAGUAAACUUACCACGCUCAGGGCACGCGACGGGUGACCGGCCGUAAAACCCCCCCCUUCUCAAGGUUGACCUCGGAUCAGGUAGGAAUACCCGCUGAACUUAA
rnacentral:rRNA from 1 species